GGUUCAGACUUAGAGAAGCCGUUGCCACCUACUGCAACAAUUAUAGUGGUGGGCUGUGAUUUUUAUGCAUAUGUCAUCAAUGCCCAAGGUAUUCUUUCCAACCUAUGACUACAACAAGCCACUGAGUAAGCACCAUUCAUGUUUGAACCUUAAAGGUGCCUUGCUUGAAGGGUCAGUUUACAGAAAUUACAAGAACAUAGAUAGUUUGGGUUUAAUUUGUCCAGGAUUUGAGAUUUCUGUCUCCACUCUAAUACAGUGGAGGUAAAUUAAAUUUCAUGUGUGGUCCUCACAGCA